UGAUGCAUCUGAAUAACAAAAGACAAUAAUCUUUGCUUUCCAGUUAUGGAAUUCAUGUAUUGAAUAAGAGUGGCUAUAGGGGAUUUGUUUGUCCUCAUAAUAUUGGUUCCUCUACUGUGUUUUCUAAUUCCUUUAAGUCCUCAUAAAAGUGUACUUUUUAUGUGGUAAUAAUAAAAUGGUAGUGUGUUUUCACUGCUUUCAAGUUACCUUGUUCAUAUGGCUAACUUAAUUAAUAAUUCAGCAUAAAAAAUACUAAUUCUAACACAUGUUUUAUAUUUUUUCUUUUCUUUUGAUUUAAUUUAAAUAAGUUAUAUAAGUUAAUGGCGAGAGUUGUACUUAGAGUAACAUGAACAACUAAGAUUUAACUCAGUUAGAAAAUUAACAAACUUCAAUUUUCAUGAAGUUUCGAUUUAUUUAUAUAUUGAAUGAAUUCCAAAAUGAGCUUUAAGAAAGUCUAAUUCACAAGCAAAUUUGUACAAGUGUUUGGAGCAUGUACUUGGGGAGAUUUAAAAAAUAUAUAUAUAUAUAAACUAAACUAAAAAUUAAAUAAAGUGAUGAAAAUAAAAAUAAAAAAGUAAGACGAUGUAACUCUUUAGAACUAUUAGAUCAUUCACUUUUUUCAUUUCUUUUCUUUUUUCACGAAAUUCUUGAUCUAAACAUAGCAUAAAACACCUCCAAACUUCAACUUCAUCAAUUGCAAAUCCAUGUGAGGACAUACUCAAAGCAGAGGUCAAGUUCGAAACUGGCCUUAGCUAUGCCUCUUUUUGUAUAUUUCCUUGAUAAUAUCUGAAUCUGUGUGUGGUAUUUAAAAUGCAUUCCCUGAAUCUCUAUAGUAAGGUUUUAAAAUUUUAUUGCUAUUUCCAUAAUUGAAACUCAGUGACAGUAAGUAUAUAUAUCACUUCACUUCAAGAAAGUGAAGUGAUACCGUCUUAUUUGAAUGUAAUAUUUAAUAUUCAAAAUUUAUUAACUUUUAUGUGUAUGUGAGGUCCAUUAUAUCUAUAUUCUAGUUUUUAAUAGAUGGUGAUAUCGCAUGUAGAGAUGGCAAUCUCCGCUCCACCCUGCCUCCACCCUAAUUGAGGCGAAUAUCCACAUACUUUUAGGAAAUGGAGUGAGGAUAAAGAAAAAUGUGAACAUGUCGAGGGAUCAUUAUGCAUACCUCCAUUCCAAAUCUCUUCUUUGAAUGAUAAGAAGCACAAUCACUUAAACUAGGCUAAAGUCUAAUUCAAACAUAGCCUUAACAACUCCAUAUUAUAGAAACAAAAACUAAGUAAUAGUGAACUUAAAAAUUGGGCGUAUCCCAAUUUGUAUUACUAUUUUUUUCCUAGCUUCUUAUUUGCACCUCACAAUUAAAAAAUCUAUAAUCUGUUGAAAGAAACUGCACUAGUAAAUGAUAUGGUUAGAAGUUACAGGAUCUAAAGGUUCGAGAUGAUUGAAUCAUCUAACGUUUCUAAUGUCAGAGUCAAGAGUAAAUGGGUCAAAAAGAGAUUUCUGUAAAAGCACAACGCAAGGUGUAAUUACCCAAAAAUAAUACUGAGUCAACACAAGUGAGUCAAAAGCCGAGUGAACGAACAACGCAAAGUGUCAGAAACGCACCUUGGAUGUGGAGAGCCUUUGUUUUGAAUCUUUGAUGGGUUGUGACCGUUCAUAGAGCCGCACUUCCUCUUCCCCUACGACGAAGGCCGCGGCGGCCGACCACUCCCUGCCGACGCCGACGACGACAACGAAUUCGCCGCUGAUUUUUUGAGGAAGCGGAAGUAAACAAUAAACCCUAGAAAUCGAAUCCGUUUUUUUUUAAUGGUCCGAUUCUGAUCCAACAGCUCUGAUUCUCUGAUUUUCUCUUGUUAAGAAUCUCUUGUUAAGAAAUCAUAGGGUCCUCUUCUGAAGCGAGCGUGGCCGAUUUUGGUCCGAUUGAUCAUAGUGAAAAAACAUGGCCCUAGUCAUAAUGGGUCCCGCAUAAUAAUGGGUCCCAAAGUCAACAAGGAUCAUGACUAUAUUUAGCCUGGUAAUGCUUAAAAGCAAAUUUUUUUUUUAGUUUGCUACUAAAAAAUUUAAAAAAUUUAAAAAAUUUAGAUUUUUUUGCUUUCAUAUAUUUACUUUAGCUAAAAAAAAUUAAAAAAAUCAACUCUAGUGGUUUUUUUGCUUAUAAGCUUAACGUCUUGUCAGGGCAAAUGUUUUUUUUGAAUUUUUUUAAUAGUCUUAACUUUUGAUUUUUUUUUAUUUUAAAUAAUUUUUUUAAUUAUUUUAUUAAAAUUUUAUAUUUUAUCGAUUCUUCUGUGGAUGGAAAUCCAAAAAUAUAAAUAAUUUUAUAUAAUUUAUAAAAAAACUCACUAAAGAUAAAAAAUUAUUUUUUAGAUUUUUUUGAAUGAAAUUAUUAUUUUUGGCCUUUUGUAUUUUUUUUCAAAUUAGAUGAAUAUUUUUAUAUUUUUAGACUAUAAUCAAGAUCAAAUGGAAAAAAGAGUUAACUAAAAUACCAAAAAACAGAGUCGGCAGAGAUUUGUAAAAGAAAAAAAAUAUUAAACUUGAAUCGUUAGAUUCGUUGACUUUUCUUUUUUUUUUUCUCUACCAAAUCAUAAAUCCAAAUAUAGCCUUGAACAAUUUAAGAUUGUAUUUCAAUAAAAAAAUUGGUAAGAUUUGUUAAGGAAAAUGAAAAAUUAAAAAAAAGAAAAUGCUACACAUCAUCCAAAGAACGGUGAUUUUUUUUUAAUAGGAAAGAAAUAUAUUGAUAAUUAUGAAAAUUGUAUAUAAAUUUAUAAAUAUUCGUAUUAACUACCGCUCAAUAAAUCUAACAAGCGAUGAUUGAGAGUGAAGUCAUGUGUCCAAUUGUUUUUGGUUUCAAUUUAUAUUUAUAUUUAAUGGGGUAUGAGGCCCAUAACCCAUGCACGCGAGAUCUAUUAUGUAUAUUAUUAAUUGAAUGACGAUAUGGAAUAAAAUUGAAUGAUAAGAAUAAGUUUGUAGAUAGAUUGUCAUAUUUUAAGACAAUUUUGAUUUGUAAUCAUACUGCUAUAAAUAUUAAAUCAAUUUAACUUUUUUUUUAUAGACAAUCUAUGUUCAUAGACUUAAAAAAAUGAAUCGAUUGAGAUCCUGUUUUGGGUAUUUAUUUAUUUUAUCUUUUUAUGUUAGUAAAUUUUUUUCAUCGUUUUUUUAAAUUUUAAAUUUUUUUAGUUUAUUUUGACAAGAAUAGUCCGAAGAUAGAUUUUUUUUUUAUCUAAUUUGAUUUUUUUUUAUUAAAAACGAUUAUAUUUUUUGACUCCUUUUGUCAAUAAAAAUUAAAAAAAUAUAAAUUUUUAAUCAAACAAAAAAAUAAAUUCACUAUAAAUAAAAACUUGAAAAUAAAAAAAUAAAAAUAUCCAAACUUGAAUCGAUGAAUCUUUUAGUCAUCCAAACCGGACCGACAUAGCACAAAAAUCAAAUCUAUUUGGAUAAACUGCAGAAUUCACGUGUAUACUGAAAAUCAAAGGCUGACAGCCUCGUCAAUCAGCGCAUUAAAUUGGAAAAUUAUUCAGUGCUUUGAGCGCAAGUCCUAGUAGUGUUCUAACAUUAGAAUGAUUGAUCUAAAAUACUGAUAUUCAUUAACUUUUGUGUAUAAAUUGUAGUCGACAUGUGCAAAUGUAUCACUCAGUAAAUGAUGUAGAGCAAUACUCUAAGAGUAUCGAAUAAUCUCUCAUUAAAUUUGGAUCAGCUGGGCUUGAAUCUGAACCGAAGUCCAGUUACAAGCAUUCACGAGGUGAGCAUCUUUUGUGAAGAUAGACCCAUCAUCCAUCCCGACCCAAUAGUGGCCGCAAAAAGUUCUGGCCCGGCCCACCUUCAUAGCACGUCCAAUUCAGAUCAUUUGUCCAAAUCGUUCGACCGAUUAGCCUAGAUUAUUCGGCCCGUUUUUUGGCCCAACCCAUCCGAUCCUCCACACUUCUCCAGCGCCAAGAACUGUACCAUUGGACUAAACUCAUUCAUUAAUAAAAAUAUUAAAUUUUAAUAAAUAAAUACAUCGUCAAAUAAUAAAAAAGAGGAGAAUUUUUUAGGGACCAAUAUUUGAACCCGCAACCUCGACCCUCUGCACCUAGAACCAUACUACUAGGCCAAACACUCAAUUCAUUUAUAAAAAGGUUAUGUUUUAAUAGUAAACAAAUCGCCAAACAAUAACAAGAAAAGAAGAAUAUUUGAGAGAGCAAGAUUCGAACUCACAACCUCCCUCCCCUGCAGCUUGAACCAUACUACUGGACCAAACACUUAUUCAUUUAUAAAAAUUAGUAAUUGUCCGUACCCACGAGCACUAUGUAAAAAAAAAUAUUACUUCUUAAGCAUACUCGUUAGAGUUUUGCAACAUAAAAAAACACAUAAGAUAUAAAUGUCAGAUAAGAGAUUUAUUGUAUGCAUAUACGAAAGGAUACAUUACUAUAAAAUAGAAAAUAAAUUAAAAAGUAUAAUAAUUUUUAAAAAAAUAUUACUAAUUUGAGAGAAAUGAGAAGAAAAGAAAGGGGGUUUUAUUUUUUUUGUAUGUGGGUCCCACUAAAAAAAUAAUUCAAUCAGUGAAACAUAUGCCCACAUUUUUAGAAAUUCUUUGGCUAUUGAACCACAACCUAUAUGAGACCUAUAACUUUAUAAAGAAGAAAAUAAUAUUUUUUGGGGAGAAAAACUAGUCUCAUGUGAAAUUUCAGUCAUUGGAUUAACUAAAAUGGAUUUCAACCGUAAAUAGUGUUUGAUAGUUUGAAAGAUUCAAAAAUUAUUGUGUCUUAUAUUAUAGAUAUUAGAUUUUAAUAAUAAACACUCAUUUGUUUAUGAAAAUAUAUUUAACAUUAUUUAUCAAUAGGCAAUAAAUGAAAUUAAUCUUUUGACUCUUUUAUUUGUUUAGUCAAUCCUAAUUUAUUGUUUAAUAGAAAUAAAUUAUUGUUGUAAAUUAUUAAAAUAUAAUUUUUAUUUUUUAUUUUUUUUAAAUAAUAAAAAAUAUUUGUAAUAUUAAAAAAAUAAACAUAUAUGAAAGAUAUAACAUUACAUUAAUUACAAAA
rnacentral:lncRNA from 1 species